GCCCGUCCAAAGGGGAAAAACGCGUCGUUUUUUAGGAAAAGGGGAAAAUUACAAAUUCAGUCUUUUUUAUGUAAUGAUAUUUAUCAUAUGAAUACACAUGUAUGUAUGAAUGCAAUAUUCACAGCUGAAUGUCUCUGUCCUUUUUCUUAAAUACAUAUCAAUGAUUGUUUCAACAUUAGUUUCAGACAGUUCAGCCGUCAUGCACAGUCUCAGUUUUCCUAGCCAAUUUCAGUCUAAUUGGAAUUUUUUUAAUCGAUAAAAUGGCAAAUUUGAGCAUUUUUAACCAGGUUUUCCGAAGGAAAAAACUGGUUAUUAGAUUGGCGAAUGCGGGCGGGCUGGCUGGCUGGCGGGCUGGCUGGCUGGCUGGCUGGCUGGCGGAAUAAGCUUGUCCGGGCCAUAACUAUGUCGUUCAUUGUCAGAUUUUUAAAUCAUUUGGCACAUUUGUUCACCAUCAUUGGACGGUGUGUCGCGCGAAAUAAUUACGUCGAUAUCACCAAGGUCAAGGUCACACUUUGAGUUCAAAGGUCAAAAAUGGCCAUAAAUGAGCUUGUCCUGGCCAUAACUAUGUCAUUCAUUGUGAGAUUUUAAAAUCAUUUGGCACAUUUGUUCACCAUCAUGGGACGGUGUGUCCCACGAAAGAAUCACGUCAAUAUCUCCAAUGUCAAGGUCGCCACGACUAAAAAUAGAUUUAAAAAAAAAAAAAAAAACUUACAAAG